CAGAUCACUUCCUGAGCACAGUGAACGACUUCAGACAAACCAGACUGGACCCAAACCCUGCCCGCUGGAGGAAGGAUGGGAAGCCUCACAGCUGAAGUUGGCUGCUUUGCAGGAGAGGGGUGCUCUCCACUCUCUGUGUCUGUCUGGCCCUGACUUGGAAUGAUAAGCAAUAAUAUCCAGGCAUUAUUUGUGGUGCAAGGCAGCUCGUUUGCAGUUUAGUCCACUAAGCUGAGUGGUUCUGAUGGAUGUUGUGCAAUAGAUCUGCUACUCUGUGAUGCACCAGAAAGCUGAAAAUGUGAGAUUUACCUGUGCUGAUUCACAUCACCUGUAGUCAGUCGCUAUCAACAAAGACCUGCCAGUUGCCCCUUCAUCUGGAGGAAACCCAAAGCAGUCAAAAGGAAAUGCUUCUCAAAGAAUAUGAGCUUGAAAACAAAGCUGCAAAGAGAGUGGGAGCAUGUCUUUGACUUCCGUUCAUACCUGUACACAGAGUCCUUUCCACAUUCCUAAGUACUCCACUGGGAAGUUAGAGGGCAUCAUGUCUGGAGAGAUCUGGCCUCUCAGAAAUGCAGCCCAGCUUCUGCUCAGACUGAGAUGUGUGGGCAGGCCCCAGCCAGGCUACAGGAGUGACUGAACACAGAUUACCUCCUCCUGGCCCUCCCACAGGCAAUGUACCUCUGGCAAAAAGAGAAUGCACAAAAUUCCUUCACUGUACAGAGAUCUUUGAGUCUGCAAAG